rnacentral:rRNA from 1 species
AUAUCAAUAAGCGGAGGAAAAGAAACUAACGAGGAUUCCCCUAGUAACUGCGAGUGAAGCGGGAAAAGCUCAAAUUUAAAAUCUGGCGGUCUUUGGCCGUCCGAGUUGUAGUCUGGAGAAGCGUCUUCUACGCCGGACCGUGUACAAGUCCCUUGGAACAGGGCGUCAUAGAGGGUGAGAAUCCCGUCCAUGACACGGACCGCCGGUGGUUUGUGAUGCGCUCUCAAAGAGUCGAGUUGUUUGGGAAUGCAGCUCAAAAUGGGUGGUAAAUUCCAUCUAAAGCUAAAUACUGGCGAGAGACCGAUAGCGAACAAGUACCGUGAGGGAAAGAUGAAAAGCACUUUGGAAAGAGAGUUAAACAGUACGUGAAAUUGCUGAAAGGGAAACGCUUGAAGUCAGUCGCGUCGGCCGGGGCUCAGCCUUGCAUUCGUUUGCUCGGUUUACUUCCCGGUCGACGGGCCAGCGUCGAUUUUGACCGUCGGAAAAGGGUCAGAGGAAAGUGGCACCUUCGGGUGUGUUAUAGCCUUUGGUCGCAUACGGCGGUCGGGAUCGAGGAACGCAGCACGCCUUUAUUGGCCGGGGCAUUCGUGCCCACGUAUCGUGCUUAGGAUGCUGGCGUAAUGGCUUUAAACGACCCGUCUUGAAACACGGACCAAGGAGUCUAACGUGCCUG